AUGGCGGCAUCCAGAUCGGUGUCCUCUGAGGGAUACGUAUGGCCAAGAUGGAGGAGGAGCUCGCGCAUGAGGCUUUGGGCAGGUCAGAUCGAGCCAUUUUGGCGGCUCCAUAAGGAUGCAGCAGAUGAACGCUCGAGGACGAGGCGACCAGUUCGCUCGAGGAGGAGGCGCUAUAGUUUGAACACAUAUAUCGGAGCCGUCGACACAGGCGCGGUGACCAUUAUCUGGGCAAUGGCAGAGCUGGUCAGGAAGACACAUGUGCUGAACAAGGUGCAAGACGAGAUCAGGACUGUAGUGGGCAACAAAGAGAGGGUGCAACAAGACGACAUGCCCAAGCUCAAGUGCCUCAAGAUGGUGGUCAUGGAGACGUUGCGACUGCACCCGGUGUUGCCCCUUCUUGUGCCGAGGGAGACCAUGAGGCACAUCACAGUGUGUGGGUACGACGUGCCGGCAAAGACGAGGAUCUUUGUGAACGCAUGGGCCAUCGGGAGGGACCCGGCCAACUGGGGGGUCAACCCUGAGGAGUUCAUCCUGGAGAGGUUCAAGGGCAAGGACGACAUGUACUUUAACGGAGGGCAGUUCGAUUUCCUGCCCUUCCACGCCGGACGCAGGAUGUGUCCCGGGAUAGACGUGGGGGUGGCUACCACGGAGUUCACCCUGGCAAACUUGCUCUAUUGCUUUGACUGGGACCUCCCGGAAGGGCUGAGGAGUGAGGAUAUGAACAUGGAAGAGGCGGGAGGACUCGCCAUCCAUAAGAAGACACCUCUCUUGCUUGUGCCGACCAGAUACAAGUGGUAG
rnacentral:rRNA from 1 species